rnacentral:tRNA from 1 species
UAGCAUGAGCAGGAUUCGAACCUGCGCAGACAAUCGUCAGCGGGUUUACAACCCGAUACCUUUGGCCACUCAGUCAUCAUGCU